AGAUUUCCAGAGGUGUCCUGCUCUAAGAGGAAAUGAACUAAAUUAGCCAAAUGUUGUUCUUGUUAACCUGAGACAGCAGCAUAAAAGAAGUACCUUGUUGUGAUGGUGUUGAUGAAGCUUCUAAGUAACAUGUGUGCUCUCUUGUCCUUCCUCCUUGAAGCCUAUUGUUACAUCCCACCAUAUACUGUAUGUCAACCUCCAGUGAACAUACUAAGCUGUGCAAACAUAUGAAGGUUUAUUUAAAGGACAAAGGUGGGGCAUCCAUUGCUGACAAACAUUUUGGGAUCAGUGACUCCCUUUAAAAAGGUGGCAUCCACUGUGGAGUGGACAAGACAUAGGACAAUUCUAAGUUUAACACCAGUUAUGGGGUACAGAGAUCUGACAAACACUAGAUUUUAGAAAGUGUGAUGUGGUAAUGGCAGAGUUUGGGCCAGCCAGAGGAGGAGCGUCUAGAAGCCCAGAGUCGCCCCUUCGACAUGAAGAAAGAAUGCUUUGUGCCCAACCCUGAAGUUUAGUAUGUCAAAGCCUCCAUCACCAGUAGAGAUGGUGACAAAGUCACUGUUAACAGAGUUCAGAAAGGUAAGGAUACAACAGGUUUCUUAUCUCUCUAAAGCAAGCAUCAAUUAGUGUUCAUGGUUAAGUGUUAAAUUCAGUUUGUGCUACUGACAUCCAAUAGUAUGGGUUAUUGAGUUGUGCUGAUGCUUUUCUAAGUGAUCACACUUAUAUUUUUGCUGGAUGAAAAAAAAAGACUUAUUGAAGAAGGGAAAUGUAUGGAGCA